rnacentral:lncRNA from 1 species
GCCAGAAGCAGCCAUCAGCAGUUGUGUGCCACCAAGACCCCAGGACCUGUGAAGAGCCAGCCUCCAGUGGGGCCCACAUCUGGCCUGAUGACAUUACCAAGUGGCCGAUCUGCACAGAGCAGGCCCAGAGCAACCGCACAGGCUUGUUGCACAUAGACUGUAAGAUCAAAGGCCGCCCCUGCUGCAUCGGCACCAAGGGCAGGUGAGCUCGUGCCCCUAACCCCUGCAGGCAGACGGACCUCUGGAACUGUCUUCUCUGCUCUUCGGUGAUGGGGGAGGCAGGGAUGAGGGGCAGGGAGAUAGAAGGGAGCUCGCUCCAUCCAGCCUGCUGUGCUCAGGUGCUGGGCUCUAGUGGGCAGAUGCCUGUUAGGAGGCCGAUACCCAUGUGCUUCCUGUCCACAGCUGUGAGAUCACCACACGGGAGUAUUGUGAGUUCAUGCAUGGCUAUUUCCACGAAGAGGCAACACUCUGUUCCCAGGUAGGCGAAGGAAGACUGCACAGCGGAAGCUGCAGGGACCCUGAGGACCACUGGGGUCCUUUCCAUGUGGAAGCCUCAGACGUGGCUUGCCUCCCAAGGCAGAACUAACAACCCUGUGUCUCCCACCCAGGUGCACUGUUUGGACGAGGUGUGUGGCCUUCUGCCUUUCCUCAACCCUGAGAUCCCCGACCAGUUCUACCGGAUCUGGCUAUCUCUGUUCCUGCAUGCUGGCAUAGUGCACUGCCUUGUGUCUGUGGUCUUCCAAAUGAC